CGCCUGUCUUUUCCAACCGUUUUCAUGACUGAACACGUGAUAGAUUAGGCCCUGUAUUUUGUAGUGGCAAUAUAAACUACACUGUUAUGUUUUGAAUCCCAACGAUUUCAAAGAAACAAUUAUGAUUGCGCUGCCUAUGCUUUCCCACAAGCUAUAAAUGCUGUUGUUCCCCCAGUUACAUUUUACAAGUGUCACAACACAUCACGUGUAACACAAGACAAGACAAAACAAGACAAGUCACUAAAUUUUAAAAACUGGUACUUCCUGGUAUGCCUUCCAAAAAACAAAUGGCUCCCUAAAGUAAAGUUACUUUGAUCAUUGUUGUAAAAGGUGGAUUUGCUCAUGAUCAAAAUAAUGUUCAUGUUCAGUUUGUCUGAAAUUUUCAGACCCCUCAAGGAGGGUCAAAUGUCAAGAUGAUUUGGAAUCAAACAAACAUUGAUUUGGAGUGAACUAUCACGUGAAUUACUUUUUUAACUCCCUCAGGACAUUAUGUCACAGCAAUUUUUAUUUUACAAUGAUCAGUCAGUCAUAGCAGUUGGCAAUAUUUUCUGUUAAUCUUUCAUUCAAUGUACUUUUCCAAAAUAAAUCCCCUCCAUCAGUAAAGUGCUUAUAUGUGGUGUGUAAAAAGAGACCGUAGAGAAAUCAUUCCCAGACCAUCUCUGGUGUAACUUCAGGAUGAGAAGAAUCAAUAGCCUACAGCAGAAUCAAGUGCAGCAUUGCCAAAGGAGAAGCAGGGAUGUUGUGUGAAAGCUCACUCUGGGUCAUGGAUCACCAUGAAGACUUGGAGAGAGAACCCACUCCUCAGCACGCCUCCCUAUCAGAGCCAACAUCAGAAAACAACAGAUACCGGGGCAGUUUCUACCCUCAUCUCUCCAAAUGCGCCAACAUCGAGGUCGAUGACAGGGAAAAUAAGGAAAACCAUACAAGGAAAGAGGUGGGGAACCAGAGAUCGUCUCAUCAAGAAAAGAGACUGGUCCAAGGAGACCAAGUAGUGAGGAAUAUGGCAUCAUCACCUCAUUCUACAGAGCGGUUUGGACCAACAGGGAGAGGGAAGUCAUCAGGAGCCGGACGGACACCGGUACCCUGUCAGCCGUCAUCUCCAAGCCUGACGCAGAGUCAAACUAAAAACGAUGUAGUGUAAAGCCCGCCUCUUCAUUCUCCAUGGACACAUUUAACAGUGGCUUAUGGAACAAGGUUAUUUAUUUUGUAUGUCAUUUUAUUAUCCUUCAUAACCUGUGCUUGUUAUCCUGUUCAACCCUUCCUGUGAAUUAAAUAGCCCUAUAGGCCUAUUGCUUAUUCCAUUUCUUUGAUUGAAGGAUGUUCAUUUAUUGGCUGUGAAUGUGCAGUGUUUAUACAUCGUUUUUUCAACUAUUUAUUAUUGAUGGAGACGAAGCCAGCCUUCACAUUCACCAUCACUGGAACACUGUAACAGGAUAGCAUGGAAUUAAUCAUGUACUCUAUUCUGUAUUGAUGUUAGGAUAGGCCUGCACUUGUUUCUUAUCA